AUGAGCACCAGCUGCAGGCACUGAGUGAGGACAAUGAAGUCACUUUGUUGUUGAAACUGGCUCCAGAGCAGGCUUUGGAGCAGCACGUUCUGGGUCCAUACUCAGGGGAACUGAUGCACCCCUUGAAGAACAGCCCACUGUGGAGCCUGCAGCAGACAUGGAUAGGACAGAAGCUUCUACUAAGCCUGGUCAUUGCUGCUGGCUGGACACUGCGGAGAAUUUGCAGAAUGAAUAUCUGUACCAGACUUUGCCAAUGGACAUCUUUAAAACAAAGUGCCUGGCUCUCUGGUGGUGCUAAACCUUUCAUGUUCAGUGGUAUGGAUGUCCAACAAAAAUAUUGUCAAUAUAAAAUGUUAAUGUGCUUUUGUUCCACA